UACGGAGGGGGCGAGCGUUAUUCGGAAUUAUUGGGCGUAAAGGGCGCGUAGGCGGCCUUGUAAGUCAAAGGUGAAAUCCCUCGGCUCAACUGAGGAACUGCCUUUGAAACUGCAAGGCUUGAGGCCGGGAGGGGGUAGCGGAAUUCCCAAUGUAGCGGUGAAAUGCGUAGAUAUCGGGAGGAACAUCAGUGGCGAAGGCGGCUGCCUGGCCCAAUACUGACACUCAGGUGCGACAGCGUGGGGAGCAAACAGG
rnacentral:rRNA from 1 species